UGGUAACAAAACCAUCAUUCCAGGUUAACAGUCUAGGAAAGGCUUGAGGCUCUAAAGACUUCAAAGCAAGGCCUCAGAAUGUGAGAGGGCAUUCUUAUAUUAAAAAAAAACCCAAACAAACAAAAGCCCCAAACAAACAGAAAAACCCAAAAUCCAAACCCACCACCAUCCCCAGCAAAACCCCCCACUGUUAGAAUAUACUGUGUAGAUUCUGAAUAUACGCAGGUAUUGAGACACAACUGGUUGAGUUUAGUAAUACAUGUUAAGUGAGUAUUAAGAUGAACAGACUUAAUCAAAAUACAAUUUCUUAAAUAAUUAUAAACAGUUGUAUGAUCAUUCUAGUAAGAUGUGUGGGGAAUUCAUAUGUAUUUCCUUCUCAUAGAUAAAAUUUGUAUGUAUUGAUACCUCUUUUAACUGUUCUCAUUCAUUUACUUGUCAAUUAUUUACUUUAAGCAAGAAGUUGGUGAUAAGGGAGGAAAUUUCAAAAUUAAUGGCUGUAAAAGGCCAAUCACUUUUACAUGCAUGAGACCAGAAAUGUUGUUAUGUAACAUUUUAACGCUUUCAAAUAUGUCAAUUAACCACAGUAACAGAAUAUAGCUGUUGUCAUGUCUUAUUGGUUGCAGCAUGUUUCAGGAAAAUACUUGGUCGUUUGUAUGCUUUUAUUUAAAAAGAAAAGGAUGGUAACUUAGUAAGUAAUAUGUGAAGGACUUGACAUAUUUCCUGGACUUUUAGGGAGUACAGAAAGCAAAUAAAAGGAAGAAGAGGCACUAGGAAGGAGUGAUUUCUUUUCACACUACUCUUCACCACAGAGAUGUUGUGGACAUUUUAUUAUUUUAAAAUAAUGUUGACAGGGCAUUAUCUGAUUAGUGGAUUAAAGAAUCAAAAGAUUGAAUGCUAGAAUAAAGUGCUAAAAACCCCUAAGUCAUGAGGACUCGAUGUGAUUCAUUCAGUCAGUCAUUCUAAUGGAUGAAGGGGCUGAACUGCAAAGAAGAGAGCAUCUUGUUAGGAUGAGAUGCUGUGCCAGAAGACUGGAAGCUAUCAAGUGUUGUAUGUACUGUACUUUUAAACUAAACACAAGGAGCAGAUCUGGAACCUGCAGACCAAGGACUCCUAUUUUAAUACCACGUAAGGAGAUUUCAAUACUAAAUGGAUAGUCAAGUAGUUCUGUGAGCACAAGAUCUAACAGCACCUAGUUUCCUAUGCAGUUGUACCUUAGAGGUAAUGAAAAGUACUAGCUGCAGCUGGCAUAUUUAUAAGGUGUGUCUCUUACCUACAUGUAUGUUCUCUAAUAACAUGGGCAUAUGCUGCAGCCUCUCCUUCAGUAUGGACAGUUUGUGGGUUGGUCUUCUCUAUCCAUCUGCCGAGUACUUGGAAUUCUGAAAUCUCUGAAUUCUUAAUAAACUGUAAAUGACUUUUGAAUCUUCCUCUUUGACAGAACUGUUUGAAAUCAGGUAGUGGAUUCAAAACUUAGAAGGGGUCAGGCAUAACCUAGGCAGACACAUUGAAAAGCAUUAAUCUCUUCUGUCUUUAGCAGUCUAAACAAUGAUCUAAGUUGGUUCUGUUAGUGGAAAAGAGAGAGAUGGCACCCACGUAUAUAUUUUCAUAUACUCAUGUGCAACCUGUAGUUCAUUCCACCUUCUUAAAUUUACAGUGUAUGACUUUUGGCAGGAAACUAACAAUAAAUUUUGGUGUGGCCCUACAAGCACUGAUUUUUAGUGCAAUUGUGAGGACAGUGAACUGGGAUGGAGAGAUGGAAGUGAAAGAUAAAUUAGUCCAAGAAUACCCUAUACUGCUUGCAGUGGCAAAGCUGUGAUCUACUUGUAAUUUACACUUAGGUGACAAUAGUAGUUUCUGAAAUGCUGACAUUUGUAGCUGCAAUUAGCUAUGUGCUUGUUUCCUCAUUUUCCCUCCUGUUGUAUUAGCACAGUCAUUUCUGUCAUUAUGCGGUGACUUGGAUCAGACAAUUGAUCCUGACUUCAAGAGGAGUCUAUGGCAAGCAGCAAUUUUUAACCCAAGUUAGUUCCCCAAUACCAUAUAGCGAGUGGCUCCACCAGCAGAUACAUCUGCACAAAUGUGGCACAAGGAUGGGUAUAAGCAGCAGGAGGGUCAUCUCUGUUUGAACUGGCACUUUUACCAAAAUACAUGUUCAUCAAAUUAUGCUUCUAGAAUCUAUCUUAGAAGUGAUUUAUCUUGUCUUCAAAUAAGUAUCCAAAGUAAAAUACUAUACACAUUCUCUAAAAGCAGAGAAAGUUAUGAGCAAUCUUCUAAGGCUGGGUAUAUUAAUGUAAUAAUGGUAAGAUGUCAUUCAGUAUUUGCAGUUACAAAAGAAUUCACGCUGGAAGGAAUAACCUGAACUACUUGAAAAUAAUUCUAAAUUACAAGUAAAUGUUCUGCAAAAAUACAUGUAUCAUUAUAGAUGCCUUGCUGAAAACUUUUUUGCAGUGUGCCCACUGUAAAAGAAACAGCUGUAAAAUUUAUUGAAAUGGUGCUCCAUGGUAGCAUUAAAUGGAAGUUCUUUACCUGGGCAUUUCUGCUCAAAUGAACUGUCCAUCAGGUUUAAUUAAUUUAUCAAUUUAUCAACCAGUGCAUAUACAUAUCCUCCAUGUGUUUUUAAAUGCUAUUGGUAAAUGACAAGUUUUUGAAAACCUGACAGAGUAAAGAACUUUAAAGUCUUUUCAGCAAGUUUACACAAAAUAAAGACACUGUAUUUCUUGCUUUCAGUGAAAUUUCUUCAGAUUAUCUGUAAAUUUUCAAUAAUGGCAAUACAUUCAUUCUGCCAUUUGGAGGAGCCUGUGCCACAGAAUAAUGAUCUGAAGAAAGCACACUUAUUUGCAAGGAAGAGUCUUCAUUUGGGAAAUAGUACCGAUGCAGCAAAGAGGUGCUUUGUCAAGUUCUGGUCUUUGACAUUCAGUGGGAUGAGAAUCUCAGAACAGACUGACUACUGGGGACUCCCAAGCUACAGUUCAGACAAUUCAGUAAUCCCUCUAAUUCUUGUCAUGGGUAUACUAAACAACUGUGGGCCAACUUCUGCACCUCUUGAAUUUGUAAAGUUAUGUAAAAUUGGAACAAUUACUAAGAGUUCUUGAUAAUUAAAAAAAAAAAUAAAUCCCAUAGCAGGCAGCACAUUCAAUCAUUAGAGAAGUGAUAGAUUUUAAGAGACAGCCCAUAUCACUGUAGUGGCUUUCAUUGCAACUUGAUGUGGACUAACUUCCUAAUGGAUCAUUUAAUCCUGAAGAUAUCAGUCAUAUAUGUUUUCACCCUCCAACCUUGCUUAUCUGACUAUCCUUCACACAACAAAUGAAACCAUUUUGGUAGGUGUGGAAUGUUUGUCAGAAAUCUGGUCCGAAGCUUGACUGCAAAGCAAGCAGGGGUACUAAUGAUGGAUAUGAACGGAUAGCUUAAGGAUAGCAAUGGAUAUGGCAUCUUCAAAAGCAGUGGCAUUCUGGCUCUAAUCCUGCCACGGGAUUUGUUUAAAUGGACCUCAGUAGACAUGGAACCCGACUGAGUUAAUGGGACUCUGGAUGACUGCAAGUUUCUACUCUGAAGAUCUGAUUGUAGGCCUGAACCUAAAUUUCUAUUUUAUUUCCCUGUCUAUUUGCUUCUAAUUCAUGAAAAUUAUCCUACAAAACAGUAUUGUCUGAGUCUCAUGCACAUCUGCUUCAGUACCAUUCAGACACUGUGUGCUUGGGAUGUUGUCAGACAUUGUUACAAUACUUCUGUUGUGUCAUGUGCCAAAAACUCAUUAUUGUGUUAUAUUUUUACAUUUCAAUGACUUCCUACCUAAAAUGGAGGAGAUCAUCACCUGUGUUUUCAGUCGUGGGAUUUCUCUUAACUCAGAUGUUGAAGUCAAAGUGACUGUGAGAACUCUAUUCAGGUCAUUUUCAAAGAUGUUGGUAGAUUUGGUUUUUAUUUGUUGGACACAAAGUACACUUAUUUUAUUUUUCAAUGUGCUAUUUUCCUAGUAGCCUACUAUUACUGAAAGCUUUCAGUGUGAUGAUACACUGUGAUGUAGACCAAUAAAAUAAGUAGGAAAAGGCACUAACUUUUAUUAGCUCUCCUGUUGCUUUUCUAUUUCUGUGGCCGUGGUUACAUGACACACUGUACAGCUGAGAGAGAAUAUUUUUAUUUUUGUGAACCAGAGAAUAUCUUUUGUUUACACUGAGUAUUGUUCCCUGUCCUAUUCCUUAUGACUGUGUUGGAGUUUCACCUAAUACUAAAGUUAAAUAGCCUUUAUAGAAGCUGGAAAGGACUUUGCAAAAUCACAUUA